rnacentral:rRNA from 1 species
UGAGGAAUCUUGCGCAAUGGGGGCAACCCUGACGCAGCAACGCCGCGUGAGUGAGGAAGGUCUUCGGAUUGUAAAGCUCUGUCAGAUGGAAAGAACCGCAUGGGGGUAAAUAGCUCUCAUGCCUGACGGUACCAUCAGAGGAAGCACCGGCUAACUCCGUGCCAGCAGCCGCGGUAAUACGGGGGGUGCAAGCGUUGUUCGGAAUUAUUGGGCGUAAAGAGCGGGUAGGCGGCCUGAUGUGUCAGAUGGGAAAGCCCUGGGCUCAACCCAGGAAGUGCAUGUGAAACUGUCAGGCUUGAGUAGGGGAGAGGGAAGUGGAAUGCCUGGUGUAGAGGUGAAAUUCGUAGAUAUCAGGAGGAACACCGGUGGCGAAGGCGACUUCCUGGCCCUAUACUGACGCUGAGACGCGAGAGCGUGGGUAGCAAACA